CAGUUCCCGUACGAUCAUCGAAGUUAAGCAACGUUGUGCAUCGUCAGUAGAUGGGUGACCACUUGAGAAUAUCAGGUGCUGUAAG